rnacentral:rRNA from 1 species
GACGAACGCUGGCGGCGUUCUUAACACAUGCAAGUCGAACGAAGUGGCGAACGGGUGAGUAACGCGUAAUCAACCUGCCCUUCAGAGGGGGACAACAGUUGGAAACGACUGCUAAUACCGCAUAAUGACGGAGGGGAUUGCGUCUGAUUACCUAGUUGGCGGGGUGACGGCCCACCAAGGCGAUGAUCAGUAGCCGUGCUGAGAUGGUGAACCGCCACAUUUGGACUGAGCCACGACCCAGACACCUACGGGAGGUGGCAGGGGGUAAUCGUCCGCAAUGGACGAAAGUCUUACGGAGCAACGCCGCGUGAUUGAUGACGGCCUUCGGGUUGUAAAGCUCUGUUAAUCGGGACGCGGUACCGGAAUAGAAAGCCACGGCUAACUACGUGCCAGCAGCCGCGGUAAUUC